CGAUGAGAAUAGGAAUAUAUAAUGCUGUGAAUCCUGCUUGCAGGAAUUCACGGUAUUAUAUAUUUCUAUUCGAGGAGCACCGCGACAGUGACAGAAGCUUUUGCUUCUGGAACGGCAUCGUUACGAGUUAGCCACAACGUAAACCGAUCACCUACCG
rnacentral:sRNA from 1 species